GGGGAAUUUUCCGCAAUGGGCGCAAGCCUGACGACGCAACGCCGCGUGGAGGAUGAAGACCUUCGGGUCGUAAACUCCUUUCGAUCGAGACGAAUGGUUUUCGGGUGAAUAAUCCGGAGAAGUGACGGUACCGAGAGAAGAAGCCCCGGCUAACUCCGUGCCAGCAGCCGCGGUAAUACGGGGGGGGCAAGCGUUAUUCGGAAUUACUGGGCGUAAAGGGCUCGUAGGUUGCCAACUAAGUCAGACGUGAAAUCCCUCAGCUUAACUGGGGAACUGCGUCUGAUACUGGAUGGCUUGAGUUUGGGAGAGGGAUGCGGAAUUCCAGGUGUAGCGGUGAAAUGCGUAGAUAUCUGGAGGAACACCGGUGGCGAAGGCGGCAUCCUGGACCAACACUGACACUGAGGAGCGAAAGCCAGGGGAGCAAAAGGGAUUAGAUACCCCUGUAGUC
rnacentral:rRNA from 1 species